rnacentral:rRNA from 1 species
CGAAGGGGGGGGGUGCUAUAAUGCAAGUCGAACGCUUCUUUUUCCACCGGAGCUUGCUCCACCGGAAAAAGAGGAGUGGCGAACGGGUGAGUAACACGUGGGUAACCUGCCCAUCAGAAGGGGAUAACACUUGGAAACAGGUGCUAAUACCGUAUAACAAUCGAAACCGCAUGGUUUUGAUUUGAAAGGCGCUUUCGGGUGUCGCUGAUGGAUGGACCCGCGGUGCAUUAGCUAGUUGGUGAGGUAACGGCUCACCAAGGCCACGAUGCAUAGCCGACCUGAGAGGGUGAUCGGCCACAUUGGGACUGAGACACGGCCCAAACUCCUACGGGAGGCAGCAGUAGGGAAUCUUCGGCAAUGGACGAAAGUCUGACCGAGCAACGCCGCGUGAGUGAAGAAGGUUUUCGGAUCGUAAAACUCUGUUGUUAGAGAAGAACAAGGAUGAGAGUAACUGUUCAUCCCUUGACGGUAUCUAACCAGAAAGCCACGGCUAACUACGUGCCAGCAGCCGCGGUAAUACGUAGGUGGCAAGCGUUGUCCGGAUUUAUUGGGCGUAAAGCGAGCGCAGGCGGUUUCUUAAGUCUGAUGUGAAAGCCCCCGGCUCAACCGGGGAGGGUCAUUGGAAACUGGGAGACUUGAGUGCAGAAGAGGAGAGUGGAAUUCCAUGUGUAGCGGUGAAAUGCGUAGAUAUAUGGAGGAACACCAGUGGCGAAGGCGGCUCUCUGGUCUGUAACUGACGCUGAGGCUCGAAAGCGUGGGGAGCAAACAGGAUUAGAUACCCUGGUAGUCCACGCCGUAAACGAUGAGUGCUAAGUGUUGGAGGGUUUCCGCCCUUCAGUGCUGCAGCUAACGCAUUAAGCACUCCGCCUGGGGAGUACGACCGCAAGGUUGAAACUCAAAGGAAUUGACGGGGGCCCGCACAAGCGGUGGAGCAUGUGGUUUAAUUCGAAGCAACGCGAAGAACCUUACCAGGUCUUGACAUCCUUUGACCACUCUAGAGAUAGAGCUUCCCCUUCGGGGGCAAAGUGACAGGUGG